rnacentral:miRNA from 1 species
UCAUGCGAACGGCCCGCCGCGGAUCCCGGGAUCCCGGGAUCCUGGGAAUCCGGUGGUCCACGGCGGGCCGUUCACGGGC